GCCGCCGUUGCCAUGGAAACUAAAAAAAUUUCAAAAUGCUCCAAAAUUGAGGAAACUUUACAACAAUGUUAAUAAACAUCUGUAGAUGCGGUCUUUGACUUUAAAAUUUUCAAACUGGCUGCAGUUUAGUGGCAAUGUGGGAAGGGUGCCAUCCGCUAUUGCUUGCAAUGGCAAAUCUAGUUAUUAUUAUGUCACCCGAUCGACAAUGUCGGGUGACAUAUUGCUAUUCCUCUGUUUCUUUUUCACUAUUAUUAUUAUUAUUAUUUUUCUUCCACCUAGUUUUGUCCGGCAGUUUUCUCAGAGCCAAAGGAACCAAUCUGAAUGAUGGUGCACUAUAACAAGGAACCCUGACUUUCCAGUUGCAGUGCAACUUUGGAACUAAAAAAUGGCUGCCAUCACCAUGGAAACCGAAAAAUAAUGGAAAAUUCCAGUUUUUGGUUUUGAUGAAUUAUUUGGAAAUGCUUUAACUUAGAAUCAUUAUAUUUUGAUACAAUGUAGGUGCCGGGCAUAUACUGGUUUUGGAUGAUUUUGGCAAUCAUUGGAACUGCUAUGUUGCCAUGGAUACUACACCAAAAAUUUCCAAAAUAUGGAAAUGCUCCAAAUUUUAUAAAACUUCACAGUAACGAUGAGCAACAUUGGUAGAUGUGGAAUUUGGCGUUGGAAUUUCCAAAAUGUCUGCCGUUACCAUGGAAACAAUGCAAAACAUGUCAAAAUGGUCUAAAAACCUUCAAGUGGCAUUUACUUUCUUAAAAUGGUAGGUCAAAUUGAUUGAAACUUUGAUGGUAUGGUCCCUCCCAUGUACCAAUGUGGUAUAUGCCAUU
rnacentral:lncRNA from 1 species